rnacentral:sRNA from 1 species
AACACUCGAAAUGCAAAUAAGAAACAUUCAAGUUAAUAAAAAAAAAAGUAUACUGGCUUCUGAGCAAAUUAAAGUGACAACAUUUACCAAGAACCUGCUUCAUAUCAAGAUGUUUGCAAAGGGCUUUACAGAUGUUAAUUUUGAGUAAUCCUUACAAACUUCACACAGCUGUUGCUACUCCUUCCCGCUUUUCAGAGCAGUAUCAAUGUGGGAGCUGAGUCCACAAAGCUAGUACAUGACCUUGACCUGGCCCAUGUCCAUUCUCACCACUGCAUCUUUCCCUUCUCCAGACACUUAAAACUAGUCCCCUAAAGUCUUGCUUCUUUCUACACUCAGGCUUGGGGCUCCCUACCUCACCCUUCACAUCUCCAGGAAACACCCCUGCUUCUCGGCUAAUACUCCUGAUUCAUGCUCUCUUGACAACGUACACUUUCGUUUGUUGCUUCUCAGGGUGUAGACUGAUAACUUUUGCAUCUCCUACAUUCGCCUCUCUGUCCUUGACUGAGAUUCCAUGAGGCCCUGCAUGUAUCCAUCUCACAUUCCACAGUGUUAAGGGUUGACUGGUGAGUGCCUUACCAUCCUCAGUGUUUGAACCAGCCAUAUGCCAGCUGCUCUAAGCAAGCGCUCUACCACUGAGCUACAUCCCUAACCCCUCUAAGCUCAUUUCUAACCUUGCAGUGUUCAGCCCUGCAAAGGUAAAGAACGAAGGAUGAUAGUAGCCAUUCAACUACACUAUGAGACUUGCUUGGAGAAAAGGUGGACUCCGGAAGAGUCUUUCAUCUUUUAAGUUACUUCUGAACCAAAUUUUAGCAUACCUGAGGCCGCUUUUGCCAAGAGAAUAUGCAGACUGCAUCUGCGUGUCAAUUGCAACACCAUGACUUGAAGCUCAGAGGGCUGACACCAAAUAAAGGAGACAAGAAUGAGAUAAGUGGGACAAGAAGCUACGGCAAUUACUUCUGCAGACUCUCAAAGGAAUUCACGUUCCGAGAGGCGAUAAAUACCAGAAGCCGAUGGCUAAUCCACUUGAUUGAAUGAGAAGAAAAGGAAGUCGUUUCCUGUCAAUGCUUCUUUGGAUUCUUGCACAGUUUAAGAAGCACCAUUGAUCUGAUCAUCAGCACUGAAGAGGAAAUGCCCAUUCACUGAAGACACGCAAUGCUCAUCCCAGUUUGACAUGGGCAGCAAGUGGUUCCUUUUGUAGCCCUUUCUGUAAACUGUCCCCUCACAUACAUGUAAACCCCUGCUUCCUUCUUUAAGUAGCUACAUUGGUGGUGCCUCUGUUGUAAGGUUAAAGGGAAGAAUAACUAGAGAGUGGUGGGGAAAGCACUGGGGAAGCUGAUUUGUUUCUGCCUUUGUGGUGAUCUCUCAAAAUAUUUUUGAGAUAUUUUUGUUGAAAAGAUGCAAGCAAUUAUUUUUUUUUAGGAUUGAGGACUUAAAAUUCAUUGUUACUCGGGCUCAUUGGCACAUCAAUCUAAGCAGUUCGAGGUAAUGCUGUUGUGAUUGAGAAACACCACCACUGUAAAGCUUUAGCAGGGAGUCAAGCAGGUUAUGACGACACAGGGCUCAUUACUAAAUGUGAAGUUUUAAGGGAUAAAACUUUACAAUGAAACAAGAAAAAUCUCAAGAAAAAGAUUGGGCUCUAGUAAAAAUAAGCCAUGUCUUAAAAGUGGUUUUCCAUAUUCAACAUUAUUACCCUUCACAUUAAUGCUCAAGCUGGUUCAUAGUCCUCAGAAGUAAGAAUGGACAUUUAUACUUUGUGUAAUAGUAAUAUGUUGCACACACAAGUAAACACUUUUGGUGAUCAACAAAGCUUAUUUUUCUCUUUCAAUUUUAAAAAAGAUUAUUUGUAUUCUGUGUGCAUUGGUAUUUUCCUGAAUGUGUGUGUGUGUGAAGGUGCCAGAUCCCCUGGGACAGGAGCUAUGGACAGUUGAGAGUUGUCACUGGGGGCUGGGAGUUGAAACUGGUUCCUCCGGAAGAGCAGCCAAGUAUUCUUAACCACAGAGCCAUCUCUCUAGCCCCAAUUUUCUCUUUCUUAAUAGCACCAUGUAUGUUUACUUAAAAACUAAAGAUGUUUUUUAAACAAGUAAAGAUGCCAUGGAUUAUAGCAGGGAGGGUUCAUGGUUUCCCUUUCCCUCUAGUCUCCCUCUGCCUUUGUAAUUGCUUCUGAAAAGUCAUGAUGCUUCUUACUUUCUAUAUCAUAAACACCAAACUCAGAGGAUAAAGGGGCCCGGGGAUGUUUAGUUAGCAAAGUACUUGCAGUGUAAGCAUGAGGCCCUGAAUUCAAUUCCCAGGACGUCCCUAAAAAUGUCAGGAAUGAUGGUAGCCUGCACUUGGAAUCCCAAUGCUGAAGCGGGAGAGACAGCUGGAUCCUGUGGCUUGCUGACCCUCCAGUCUAAUGUAUUAGGUGAUCCACUGGUCCAAGUAAGAGGCAUGUCUCAAAUCUAGGUUUCUGAAGACUGAUACCUGUGGUUGACCUCUGGCUUCCACAUAAGUACAGGUACCUAUACAUACAUGUGUACUCACAUAAACAUGCAUAUGCAUGAGCAUAUACUCAACCAGUGCACUUCAAUAGUCCUAUUUAGUUCACUUAAUGCUCUACAGAGAGCAUUGUUGCUAGUGACUCAGUCCUUUUCAGGAACGCCAAGCUACUGAGUGUUCUCUGCAUCAAAUCAGCAGAACAGCAGGGCAUAUGCAUCUAUAAUCUCUUUCUUCCAUUAACAAAAAAAGAAAAGAAAAGUAGCCAACAACCCUCAGAGUCACCUUCAACUGAGCAUCAGAAUUCUUACUGUGCCCAACUGCUAAGAAUUGAAAAUGGAAGUGUGUGUGUGUGUGUGUCUAUGUGUGUGUGUCUAUGUGUGUGUGUCUGUGUGUGUGUGUGCGUGUGUGUGUCACAAUGUAUAGCUAACCUUCCCAAUGGAAAGGAAAGGAACCGAUAAAUCUUACACUGUCCCAUGUUCCAUUCACUCUUCAUUUGUAAAUUGUAUGAGACAUUCUGCGCUAAUCCAUGGCAGGCUUUCCAAGCUGCCUAAUCUUUUUUUCUUAUCACUGUUUAUGUUCCAAGAAGAUCUGGCUCUGUUUGUAUUUAUUGUGAUAAUGAUUUACUAUUCUAAACAAUUACUUUUUACCACUACUAGAAACAAUUCUGUAUAUAAGAGCCUUUUUAUUCCCUCCUCCUCUUCUUCCUCCUCCUUAAAUAAAGGAAUUCGCCUCAACUGUGGUAGACUAGCCCUGGUUUCAGAUUCUUAUUGCAGAUAAUGCCAGCGAGGAAGCAUGGAAACCAUUAUGAAGGAUCUAAACCAUAAACUCAGCUUAUCUCUAUUGAAUUCUCAUGGACCUCUGAGAAUGAAAGGAUCUGUUUGUUAAUGGCUUUUCCAAAUAAAAGCCACCCAAGGGCAUUGAUGUCAUGCAUCAGCAGCAGCACUUGAAAUGUCCAGGCCAUCAGGAAUCACUGGCAUUUCCAUGGCAAGAGAAUGCCUGUACAUUUGCUUUUGCAUAAACAUUAGUGGGUCCUAACAUCUGAAGUCAUUGUUAGCUUUGCAAUGGGUCUUCUUUAGCAACUAAUUCACAAUGUGUUAGAGGCAUUGGGCUCUCCCUAAUUGCUUCUCUCUACAUAUGGAUCAAGUUCUUACUGAAGGGGCAUUACUUUUUAAAAGACCCCUAGGGUCUCCUCGGGUCUUUAAGUCCUUGAUAGAAUGGCUUUGGUCUUCAAUACAUUGUGUAAACUCCUUCAAGUAGGGUGCAUUUCUCAUUCAUUUCUUAGAAGUUAUAUCUCUCUAACAGUGUGACUUCUCUUUUGAAAUUAUGGAAAUUAAAAUCCAGGAAAUCUAGCCAUCCACCCACAAAGGAAUAGAUAAUUAAAGAGCACACUGAAUUCUUCCACUAAUUUGGAAUCUUAAUGUUCUACCAAGAUCCCAGGCAGAUUGCAACUCUACAAUCUCAAGGUCCCCCAAAACAGUGAUAUAGACUGUGGUGGCUAUUCUUGUUUGUCAACUUGACUACAACUGGAAUUAACCAAAAUUUUCAAAUGGGAGACACCUGGUUUUGAAGUGGGAAGAUCUACUUCUAAUCUUGAUCUUUGAGGUGGGAUGACUUACCUUUAAUCUAGAUCUUUUGUGGUGGGAAGACCCACCUUUAAUCUGGGUCAUAUCUUCUGCUGGAAGCUUGCGUAAAGACAUGGAGGAAGGAAGUUUUUGCUUUUUGCCUGCUUGCUUUUACAAGUGCAUUCACUAGCAUUAGAGCCUGCUUCUUCAGGAUUCUAGCACACAUUGAGGAACAACUGAAGCAUUCAGCCUCAUGGACUGAACAACUACUGGACUCUUAGACCUUUCAUUCAUAGGCAACAUUGUUGGACUAGCUUGAGCACAACCUAGAAGCUGUUCUAAUAAAUCUCCUUUCUAUAUAUAGGGAGUUUCAUUCUAAAAGUUGUUACUCUUUGAGAACCUUGACUAAUAAAAAGACCCAGGAGCAUUAAGGGAACUAGGAGGAGAGGUCGGAAUAGGGAACAGAGGGAAAGGAGAGAAGACAAGACAGAAAGUGGCAGAGAAAGAAAGAAGGGUUUAGGUUCAGUUCUGCUCUAUUAUUCCUCUGGCUUGGGAAGUUCCUGUUACUGUCUAUCAUUUCGUCAUUUGUCAAACACAGCCGGGUCAGUGAGGAGCACGUGGCUUACUGCCUGCAGUCUUGCAUCUGGUCUGAAGGGUUCUAAAGUGUGCAUUUUCUACUGUGGCCUAGAAAAAUGCUGUAAUAUGGGUUUUCUUUUUCAAAAACCUUUCCUCUUCAUCUUACUUCUUAAUUUGAGAAUUUCCAGAGUCUCACCCUACACUUUCUGCUCCUCGAUGCCCCUGUCUUCUUCCUGGGUGGUCUCGCCCUUUUCUAGCUCCUAUUUCAAAGUUCCUUUGUCUGAUAUUAAUGCAGCCUCUCAGAGUUGCUGUUUGCAUGGUUCAUCUUCUCCCUUCUUAUUGCUUUCAACCUAGGAGAAUCUUUAUAUCUAAAGUGUGUUUUCUUUAUGCAGCAUAUAGUUAGGUUUUGUUUCAGGUUUUAAUACAGUCUGAUAAUUCCUGCCUUUUGACUAGAUCGGGUAAUUAUUCGUAAUUAAGGUUCAAUUUACUUCUGCCUCUUUGCUUUUGACUUUUCAUUCUUCAAAUGUUGUUCAUAGAUUUUUAUCUUUCUUUUGCUGCCUUCCUUUAUGAGAACUAGAUAUUUUAUAGUAUAAUGUUUUCAUGUCUUUGAUUUAAAAGAUAUGUUUUUAUUAUUUCUUUGAGAAUGUCAUACAUAAAUACAAUAUAAUUUUAAGAUCAUAUUUACCCCCACUUCUACCUCUAACUCUUCCUGAAACUAUUCUUACUCUUCAUUUGCUAUCAAUUUUAAGUCUCUCUUUUUAAAAAAAUACUAGAGAGUCCAGUAUAUGCUGCCUAUAUACUCAUAGGCACACACGUGCAUGGUUAAUACACUAGGGGCCACACCCUUAAAGAAUGUGUAUUCCUCCUUCCCCAGAAGCCACCAACUGUCAACAACUGCUCAUUGAGGGUAAGAAAUUAUGGCACUCUUUCUCUCCACGCUGAAAUGUUGACUGACUUGAUCUUGUGCUGGUCUUGUGCAGACAGCCACAGCUGCUGAGAUUUUGUGAGUGCACUGGCCUUGUCAUAUCCAGAAGACACUGCUUCCCUCUAGUCCUCCUCCACCUCUUGCCAUUACAAGCCUUCUGCUCCCACUUCCAAAAUGAUCCCGAUCUUUGGAGGAGUGGGUGUGAUACGGUGUCCCACUUAUGACAAAACACUCCCCAGAUUCUUGUUCUCUAUACUUUUAUGAUUGGAGGUUUCUAUGUUAACUGAUAUCUACUGCUUAAGGAAAUUUCUAUGGGAUGUAAUAGCUGUACUAAUCUAGGGAUAUAGAGAUGUCAGUUCACCACAGAGCCCAUUUAGAAAAAUAAUAGUAAUAAGAUCACCCACGAAGCUUGUGAGCUCCUCAACCAUGAGUUCUGGCCAGAUAUAUAAUAUCAGGCAUGUAGUUCCUCCUGUGGGGCAGUUCUUAAAUCCAAUCAGAAGGCAGUUGGUUGAUGCCAUAAUAUUUGUGCCACUACUGUGCCCAUGAACAUAGCUUGUUGCACUGCUGUUACUAGAGUAGUUCACAGCUGAGUAAGACUAUUGUUCCAGCAGCCCACAGUGCAUAGCCCCUUCCAGGACUAUGAGAUCCCAGCAGCAGGGAGAAAGCUUCAUGGUCAGUACGAACUUCAUUCCUCCAUGUCCUCCUCCAUAACAGUGUGGUUUCUUCAUCAAUAGCGUCUUAAUAUCAAGUUCUGAUAGGAAACCAAGAGCAAUGCCAAUGGCCUAGAAUGUUUGGGGACAUCACCUGGUACUUGACUUUUAAAAUACUUUUAUUAAUUCCUUGUGAAUUUCAUACAAUGUAUUUUGUAUGAAAAGAUUUAAACCUAGUAUAUAAACACUCUCUCCAUAUUUUGUAAUCUUAAUCCUUUAUAUAUUGCCAUUUACAUGUUACAAACCUCACAUGAAUUCUAGUAAUUACUUUACAUAGUGUACAUAUCGUAUAGAAUCUAGAUUCACAUAAAUUCGUAUUUGCAAAGUAUUACAUUAAUCUUCCCUUUCACCAAGUCUGAUUUGCUCCAUUUCUUUCUGAAGAUUUCAGUUGCUGUCUGGUCUCUUUACUUAACCUGAGUGCUGGGUAUCAUUUUGGUUCAUGUCCUUUAUGCUCCUGUUUUCAAAUGUAUGACAUUUCAGCAUCCUAUAAACCCAAUAGUGGGUGUAUAUAUACAUUGUUUUAUUAUGCAGUUCUUACCAGGAGUACACACUCAAUACUGUUGUCUUUACUAUGUUUUAACUUAGGUGAAAUUCAUACAAUGCUAAACUUAUUAAAGUGGAAAAUUUCAUGGCUUUUAUCUCACUCAUCACAUUGUAUAACCCUCACAUUCUGUAGUUUCUUUGGUUUGAAUUUUUUAUGGCCUCAGAGAAAUUCCACACACCCUCUUCCUCGUCCCUUUGCAAACACAGUCUUUUAAUCUCAAUGGUAUUUCUAUCUUAGAUGAUUUACUUAAAAAUUCAUGCAUUAUGUAACUUAUGUCUGUUUUUCACUAGAGUGUUUUCAAUGUUCAUCCAUAAGUACUCCAUCCCUCUUUAUGGUUAUAUAAUAUUUCACUUUGUGAACAUAACAAAAUAUGCUUAUCUGUUCACCUGUUGAUGGACACAAGCAUUGGUCUUUUUGCCUCCGAGCUAUGAUUAGUAACCGCUGUUACAAACAUUCUUGUAUAAAUUUCUAUGCAAGUAAAGGUUUUCAUUUCCACUGGAUAUAUAACUAGGGGUGAAAAUGCUGGGUUCUAUAUUCAUACAAUGUACAUGAACCAUAUCCAUCCCCCACCAUCUCCCUUCAACUCCCCCAUGUCCUUUCCAUCCCAUUUCUUUUCCAACUUCAUGUACUUUUUAAAACAUUUCUCUUUAAUUAAUAAACCCCUAAAUCUAGUCAAUGCCCGUAUGAAUGUGUAUCUAUUCACUGGGGCACAAACAACCAGCCAGGAGCCAUAUAUACAAAGAAGAGUGACUCUCCUUCCUACAGUAACUAUAGACUGCCAAUAGCUCUUCUGUUAUGGGUGGGGCCUCAGGAUCUCCUCCCCCAACCAUGCUGGAACUUGAACUGGCUUGAUUAUAUUCACAUCUUAUGCAGGCAGUGAAAGUUACUUUGACUUGAUUCAUGCAUGGUCCAUGAAUUUCAUAGCUCUCUCUAUUUUCCUCCUCCUCUUCCUCCUCCUCCUCCUUCUACGAAGAUCCUAGGGCUUUGGAUGAUUUAUGAUUGAUAUAGAUGUCGUAAGUAUUGGUAACUGAGUGCUCAGAGUUAUUUAUAAUUGGCAAUUUGACUAGUUAUGAGUCUCUGUAUUAACCAAUAUUCACUGCAAACACAAGUUUCUAUGAUCAAAAUUGAGAGCAGCUCAAGUCUUCAUAUAUUAACACAGAUAUUUCGAAGGCCGUUUCACAGCAUAAUCAUUUAACAAAACAAUAGUAUGUUCCCUCCAGGGUCUAUGAUCUUCCCGUUCAUGGGCUUUGAGCAUGUUUAUAGUACAGGGUAUGAAAUCCCUCCUACAGAACAUGCAUCAUAACCAAGAAAAAGCAGAUAGUUAACCCUUUACCCAUCAGCCACUCUUACACCAGCAGACACAUUUUGCCAGCAGGUUGAUACUGUAUGUAAUAUGAAUGGUCCAGAGCUGUGUAAGACGCUGUUGACUUUUCUCCCCUAGUAGCCUGCCCUGCACUCUGUGGAAUGAUAUACACUAGUAAGUAGGAUGCAUAUUUUCUGGCUAACUUGAAAUAGAUUUCUUUGUGUCCUAUAUCCAAGAUGAGUGGCAUCUUUAGCAAUAGGCUCUUACCAUCUAGUGUCAACUGCAGUCAGGAACAAUGCCAAGAUCCUGUAUUGUCUGGGGUGCUUCUGACUCAUAGGGAGGUAUCCUGUGCCUGCCACUAAGGUUUGCAUUAAUAAUCCAUGUACUCUGGGAGCAGCAUUGUUCACCAUGCUGAGUACUUUUGUUCAAACUCUUCCUCAACAGCUCCUGCUUCUUUUUUCAAAAUUAACACACACAGAUUAUUCUCUACGUACCAGUGACAAGCACACUGGAAAACAUAUCAGGGAAACAAUCUCAUUUAUAGUAGCCACACCAUCCAUAAAGCAAACAAAAAUAACUCAGGGGACUAAAUGUAACCCAGGAAAUGAAAUGAAAACAUUAGGGCGCUAAAGAAAGAAACUGAAGAAGACACUAGAAGGUGGCUCAUUGAUUAGAAGAAUAAGUAUUGUGGAAGUGGCCAUCCUACUAAAAACAAUCUGAAGAUUCAUCAUAAUCCCAGUCAAGAUUCUGGGGCCAUUUUUCACAAACAUAGAAAAGCAAUCUUGAAGUUUAUGUGACAGCACAAAAAACGAAGGAAAGCCAAAGCAAUCUCAAACAUAAAGAACACUGUGGGAAGAAAAAUACAAUAUUAAA